ACCUUAACCCUCUGUGGCAUAGCGUUACGAAUUCGUAACAACGUAUUUUCAGGGUUUUUAAAAAUCAAACCUUUCCCCUGUGCCUUGAUUUUGCAAAAUUUUAUUAGUUUUUUCUUUUUCUGAAAAAUUGAUUCCCUUAACUUCAAGAUUUUGGAAAAAAAAUUUGGUACUCUAUUUGUUUAUGCAAGCUAAAAAAUAAAUUAGUGUCCCCUAGAAUCUGAGAUCCAAAAUUAAUUGAUGUCAUAGAGGGUUAAAACUGUUAGAAAAUGAAAAAGUUUGAUACUUAGUUGUAUUUCCCUGCUAUGUCAAUGCAGAAAUGUAAGACCGGUUUCCUUUUGCAGGUAUUCUCUAAAUUCAACUUCGACCUCUUAAUAGAGUUUGUAAAGCAAACUCUCAGUUAUGUCAAUUUUGAAGCUCUGGUCCUACCUGGAACUAUUAGUGCUUGUGUGGAAGCUGUAGCAAGAGACAAUCAACUUCUGUUUAAAGUAGUGGAAUUACUCGCUGAAAUAGUAACAUUCAAAACUUCUUGUUGCGUAACCAGUGAAGACCUGAGUGAAUGGCAGUUCUACUCCCUAAAGGACAACCGCAAACGGAGUAGCAAAAACCAAAUCUGUGAUAUAAGUGUUGACUAUCUUGAUCGCAUUAAGUCAGUGGAUGACAUUAUGACCAGUUAUGAAAAUGUUCUCAAUAUUUUUAUAAUUCUACCACACUUCAAGAUAAUGAACUCUAAACAAGCUGCGGUGCUUUUAAGGAUAAACCAGUUUAUUCUGGAUGAAUUGGCAAGAACAAGUCUAAAUUCGGAUGAGCAAAUUUGCAAACUUUUUCACCUGUGGACUUUCGUGCUUAUCACUGUCAUCCAAGUAGAGGAUGCAAAAGAACAGUUCCUCAAAAUUUAGCUUGUGAUAAGUUUUUGGGUGUUUUACUGAAACAUUGUCAGCAAGAUAUUUGCACCGCUGCAGUCUUAAGAGUUUUGGAUUUUUUUAUCUUUCUUGCAUCGGCGUCUGUGAUCGAUCACAAACUAUGUUUGAAGAUUGAACAGGAAGUAGUAAAACACUUGGCAUCACCAUUUCAUAUGGUAAGUUGUAUGGUUUUGAAAUUUGUUUCUGCUUCCCAAAUGAAUUUACUCAUAAAGCUCUGUUCAGAUAAGAGAAAACUUUGCACUAUUCACAAAAGGG
rnacentral:lncRNA from 1 species